UACGAAGGGUGCAAGCGUUGUUCGGAAUUAUUGGGCGUAAAGAGCUCGUAGGCGGUGUGUCGCGUCGGCCGUGAAAACCUGCAGCUUAACUGUGGGCUUGCGGUCGAUACGGGCAUCACUGGAGUUCGGCAGGGGAGACUGGAAUUCCUGGUGUAGCGGUGAAAUGCGCAGAUAUCAGGAGGAACACCGGUGGCGAAGGCGGGUCUCUGGGCCGAUACUGACGCUGAGGAGCGAAAGCGUGGGGAGCGAACAGG
rnacentral:rRNA from 1 species